rnacentral:rRNA from 1 species
AUUGAACGCUGGCGGCAGGCCUAACACAUGCAAGUCGAGCGGAGCGGCGGACGGGUGAGUAAUGCAUAGGAAUCUGCCUGGUAGUGGGGGAUAACGUCCGGAAACGGGCGCUAAUACCGCAUACUAUCAGAUGAGCCUAGGUCGGAUUGGCUCGUUGGUGGGGUAAAGGAGUACCAAGGCGACGAGCCGUAGCUGGUCGGAGGGGAUGAUCAGUCACACUGGAACUGAGACACGGGCCAGCGUCCUACGGGAGGCAGCAGGGGGGAAUAUGGGACAAUGGGCGAAAGCCUGAUCCAGCCAUGCCGCGUGUGUGAAGAAGGUCUUCGGAUUGUAAAGCACGUUAAGUUGGGAGGCGUUACCAACAGAAUAAGCACCGGCUAACUUCGUGCCAGCAGCCGCGGUAAUUC